AGCGAACGCUGGCGGCAGGCUUAACACAUGCAAGUCGAGCGGGCACCUUCGGGUGUCAGCGGCGGACGGGUGAGUAACGCGUGGGAACGCGCCCUCUGGUUCGGAACAACCCUGGGAAACUAGGGCUAAUACCGGAUACGCCCCUGAUCUUUGGUGAUUAGGGGGAAAGGCUUGCUGCCGGAGGAGCGGCCCGCGUCUGAUUAGCUAGUUGGUGGGGUAACGGCCUACCAAGGCGACGAUCAGUAGCUGGUCUGAGAGGAUGAUCAGCCACACUGGGACUGAGACACGGCCCAGACUCCUACGGGAGGCAGCAGUGGGGAAUAUUGGACAAUGGGCGCAAGCCUGAUCCAGCCAUGCCGCGUGAGUGAUGAAGGCCUUAGGGUUGUAAAGCUCUUUUCUCCGGGACGAUAAUGACGGUACCGGAGGAAUAAGCCCCGGCUAACUUCGUGCCAGCCGCCGCGGUAAUAC
rnacentral:rRNA from 1 species